CCUACGGGCGGCUGCAGUGGGGAAUAUUGCACAAUGGGGGAAACCCUGAUGCAGCGACGCCGCGUGAGUGAAGAAGUAUUUCGGUAUGUAAAGCUCUAUCAGCAGGGAAGAAAAUGACGGUACCUGAUGAAGAAGCCCCGGCUAACUACGUGCCAGCAGCCGCGGUAAUACGUAGGGGGCAAGCGUUAUCCGGAUUUACGGGGUGUAAAGGGAGCGUAGACGGCAGAACAAGUCUGGAGUGAAAUGCCGGGGCUUAACCCCGGAACUGCUUUGGAAACUGUGCAGCUAGAGUGCAGGAGAGGUAAGUGGAAUUCCGAGUGUAGCGGUGAAAUGCGUAGAUAUUAGGAGGAACACCAGUGGCGAAGGCGGCUUACUGGACUGUAACUGACGUUGAGGCUCGAAAGCGUGGGGAGCAAACAGGAUUAGAUACCCCGGUAGUC
rnacentral:rRNA from 1 species